AAAUUAGCGCUGUGGAACCACCCGAUCCCAUCCCGAACUCGGAAGUGAAACGCAGCUGCGCCGAUGGUAGUGUGGCUCAAGCCAUGCGAGAGUAGGUCAUCGCCAGGG
rnacentral:rRNA from 1 species